UCAAGUCACAACACUCAAAAGUCAACAGUCAUAUAGAAAGACUCAUGUAUGUUUUAUUUUAGAUUGAGACAUUUUUACCACAGCACCAUGCCUAUCUCAACACUUGGUUUUGUUCUGGGCCGUUUGUUUACUGACAUUCUGAUGAGGUUCUUAGAGACAUACUUCCUUCAAAGACAGGAAGACACAGGCAAAAAGACUGUACCAUGCAUUCCCAGGACAGCUGAAGAGAGACAGGGAGUGUUGGGAGCAGAGAGUGGAGUGCAGCAUAUGGUCGUGUCCUGGAGUCAAACCAGCAUCUCUGCCAUGAGGACCAUGACCGCUGUAUACGGCGUGCCCAGACUGCUAGGCCACCAGCGCCCUAUAACUGGCCUCUUUUAAAGAACCCUUAAUAUGACAAUAGCUGAUUACAAUUGUAUUGGAAUCAUGCUUGUACUCAAGUUCAGUAAAAGCUCUACUUCCACUA